rnacentral:rRNA from 1 species
AUGCAGUCGAACGAACCUUCGGGUUAGUGGCGGACGGGUGAGUAACGCGUGAGAAUCUGCCCUCAGGAGGGGGAUAACAGUUGGAAACGACUGCUAAUACCCCAUAUGCCGAGAGGUGAAACGAAUUUCGCCUGGGGAUGAGCUCGCGUCUGAUUAGCUUGUUGGUGGGGUAACUGCCUACCAAGGCUUCGAUCAGUAGCUGGUCUGAGAGGACGAUCAGCCACACUGGGACUGAGACACGGCCCAGACUCCUACGGGAGGCAGCAGUGGGGAAUUUUCCGCAAUGGGCGCAAGCCUGACGGAGCAACGCCGCGUGAGGGAUGGAGGCCUUUGGGCUGUAAACCUCUUUUCUCAAGGAAGAAGAUCUGACGGUACUUGAGGAAUAGGCCACGGCUAAUUCCGUGCCAGCAGCCGCGGUAAUACGGGAGUGGCAAGCGUUAUCCGGAAUUAUUGGGCGUAAAGCGUCCGCAGGCGGCCGUUUAAGUCCGUUGUUAAAUCGUGGAGCUCAACUCCAUCACGGCAAUGGAAACUGUUCGGCUUGAGUAUGGUAGGGGCAGAGGGAAUUUCCGGUGUAGCGGUGAAAUGCGUAGAUAUCGGGAAGAACACCAGUGGCAAAAGCGCUCUGCUGGGCCAUUACUGACGCUCAUGGACGAAAGCCAGGGGAGCGAAAGGGAUUAGAUACCCCUGUAGUCCUGGCCGUAAACGAUGAACACUAGAUGUUGGGGGAAUCGACCCCCUCGGUGUCGUAGCUAACGCGUUAAGUGUUCCGCCUGGGGAGUACGCACGCAAGUGUGAAACUCAAAGGAAUUGACGGGGGCCCGCACAAGCGGUGGAGUAUGUGGUUUAAUUCGAUGCAACGCGAAGAACCUUACCAAGGCUUGACAUCCUGCGAAUCUCCAAGAAAUUGGAGAGUGCCUUCGGGAACGCAGUGACAGGUGGUGCAUGGCUGUCGUCAGCUCGUGUCGUGAGAUGUUGGGUUAAGUCCCGCAACGAGCGCAACCCACGUUUUUAGUUGCCAGCAUUCAGUUGGGCACUCUAGAAAGACUGCCGGUGACAAACCGGAGGAAGGUGUGGACGACGUCAAGUCAUCAUGCCCCUUACGCCUUGGGCUACACACGUACUACAAUGCUGCGGACAAAGAGUAGCGAUCUUGCGAAAGUUAGCUAAUCUCGUAAACCGUGGCUCAGUUCAGAUCGUAGGCUGCAACUCGCCUACGUGAAGGAGGAAUCGCUAGUAAUCGCAGGUCAGCAUACUGCGGUGAAUACGUUCCCGGGCCUUGUACACACCGCCCGUCACACCAUGGAAGUUGGCCAUGCCCGAAGUCGUUACUCUAACCUUUUGGAAGAGGCGCCGAAGGGC